rnacentral:rRNA from 1 species
GACGAACGCUGGCGGCGUGCUUAACACAUGCAAGUCGAACGGAAAGGCUCUUCUUUUGUGGGGUGCUCGAGUGGCGAACGGGUGAGUAACACGUGAGUAACCUGCCCUUGACUUUGGGAUAACUUCAGGAAACUGGGGCUAAUACCGGAUAGGAGCUCCUGCUGCAUGGUGGGGGUGGGAAAGUUUCGGCGGUUGGGGAUGGACUCGCGGCUUAUCUGCCUGUUGGUGGGGUAGGGGCUUAACAAGGCGUUGACGGGUAGCCGGCCUGAGAGGGUGACCGGCCACAUUGGGACUGAGAUACGGCCCAGACUCCUACGGGAGGCAGCAGUGGGGAAUAUUGCACAAUGGGAGGAAGCCUGAUGCAGCAACGCCGCGUGCGGGAUGACGGCCUUCGGGUUGUAAACCGCUUUCGCCUGUGACGAAGCGUGAGUGACGGUAAUUGGUGAAGAAGCACCGGCUAACUACGUG